GACGAACGCUGGCGGCGUGCUUAACACAUGCAGGUCGAACGGAAAGGCCCUGCUUUUGUGGGGUGCUCGAGUGGCGAACGGGUGAGUAACACGUGAGUAACCUGCCCUUGACUUUGGGAUAACUUCAGGAAACUGGGGCUAAUACCGGAUAGGAGCUCCUGCUGCAUGGUGGGGGUUGGAAAGUUUCGGCGGUUGGGGAUGGACUCGCGGCUUAUCAGCUUGUUGGUGGGGUAGUGGCUUACCAAGGCUUUGACGGGUAGCCGGCCUGAGAGGGUGACCGGCCACAUUGGGACUGAGGUACGGCCCAGACUCCUACGGGAGGCAGCAGUGGGGAAUAUUGCACAAUGGGCGGAAGCCUGAUGCAGCAACGCCGCGUGCGGGAUGACGGCCUUCGGGUUGUAAACCGCUUUCGCCUGUGACGAAGCGUGAGUGACGGUAAUGGGUAAAGAAGCACCGGCUAACUACGUG
rnacentral:rRNA from 1 species